ACUCUGUCUCAAACAAACAAAAAAAAAACUACAUACCAUGACUGUAAUUCAACACGAAAGUGUGGGCCACAUUGCCAGAAUCCAAAAGUAAAGACUUGCCAUCUUCUGAAGGAUUAAGUUAGAGAAACUAAAGAACCAGGUAGAAGGCUGAAGCUUCCCACCCCUCUCACAGAUUAAGGUGCCAUGCCUUUCAGUAAAGCAAGAGAGAAGGUGUCACUGACAGACAGAUUAAGUUGGGAAUAAUAGACAGGUUUGAAAGCAGGAACAGCCAUAUCCUGUCUAGAGCCAGAAGCCAAGAAAUUGGGAGGAAAACAAAAGGCAAGUCUGGCCAUUGGCGGAUCUUGAGUUCCUGUCCUGCAUCCAGGAAGAAUGAGGUACGUGGACAACUGGAAGGCCUAUUUCUAAAAGAGAUGCCAAGGAUGUUUGCCUUGAAUAUAUCCAAGCCUCCAGGUUCAUUGUGUUGAGGAUGAGGACAAU